rnacentral:rRNA from 1 species
UUAAGCGACUAAGCGUACACGGUGGAUGCCCUGGCAGUCAGAGGCGAUGAAGGACGUGCUAAUCUGCGAUAAGCGUCGGUAAGGUGAUAUGAACCGUUAUAACCGGCGAUUUCCGAAUGGGGAAACCCAGUGUGUUUCGACACACUAUCAUUAACUGAAUCCAUAGGUUAAUGAGGCGAACCGGGGGAACUGAAACAUCUAAGUACCCCGAGGAAAAGAAAUCAACCGAGAUUCCCCCAGUAGCGGCGAGCGAACGGGGAGCAGCCCAGAGCCUGAAUCAGUGUGUGUGUUAGUGGAAGCGUCUGGAAAGGCGCGCGAUACAGGGUGACAGCCCCGUACACAAAAAUGCACAUGCUGUGAGCUCGAUGAGUAGGGCGGGACACGUGGUAUCCUGUCUGAAUAUGGGGGGACCAUCCUCCAAGGCUAAAUACUCCUGACUGACCGAUAGUGAACCAGUACCGUGAGGGAAAGGCGAAAAGAACCCCGGCGAGGGGAGUGAAAAAGAACCUGAAACCGUGUACGUACAAGCAGUGGGAGCACGCUUAGGCGUGUGACUGCGUACCUUUUGUAUAAUGGGUCAGCGACUUAUAUUCUGUAGCAAGGUUAACCGAAUAGGGGAGCCGAAGGGAAACCGAGUCUUAACUGGGCGUUAAGUUGCAGGGUAUAGACCCGAAACCCGGUGAUCUAGCCAUGGGCAGGUUGAAGGUUGGGUAACACUAACUGGAGGACCGAACCGACUAAUGUUGAAAAAUUAGCGGAUGACUUGUGGCUGGGGGUGAAAGGCCAAUCAAACCGGGAGAUAGCUGGUUCUCCCCGAAAGCUAUUUAGGUAGCGCCUCGUGAAUUCAUCUCCGGGGGUAGAGCACUGUUUCGGCAAGGGGGUCAUCCCGACUUACCAACCCGAUGCAAACUGCGAAUACCGGAGAAUGUUAUCACGGGAGACACACGGCGGGUGCUAACGUCCGUCGUGAAGAGGGAAACAACCCAGACCGCCAGCUAAGGUCCCAAAGUCAUGGUUAAGUGGGAAACGAUGUGGGAAGGCCCAGACAGCCAGGAUGUUGGCUUAGAAGCAGCCAUCAUUUAAAGAAAGCGUAAUAGCUCACUGGUCGAGUCGGCCUGCGCGGAAGAUGUAACGGGGCUAAACCAUGCACCGAAGCUGCGGCAGCGACGCUUAUGCGUUGUUGGGUAGGGGAGCGUUCUGUAAGCCUGUGAAGGUGUGCUGUGAGGCAUGCUGGAGGUAUCAGAAGUGCGAAUGCUGACAUAAGUAACGAUAAAGCGGGUGAAAAGCCCGCUCGCCGGAAGACCAAGGGUUCCUGUCCAACGUUAAUCGGGGCAGGGUGAGUCGACCCCUAAGGCGAGGCCGAAAGGCGUAGUCGAUGGGAAACAGNACUGUGAGGUAUGCUGGAGGUAUCAGAAGUGCGAAUGCUGACAUAAGUAACAAUAAAGCGGGUGAAAAGCCCGCUCGCCGGAAGACCAAGGGUUCCUGUCCAACGUUAAUCGGGGCAGGGUGAGUCGACCCCUAAGGCGAGGCCGAAAGGCGUAGUCGAUGGGAAACAGGUUAAUAUUCCUGUACUUGGUGUUACUGCGAAGGGGGGACGGAGAAGGCUAUGUUGGCCGGGCGACGGUUGUCCCGGUUUAAGCGUGUAGGCUGGUUUUCCAGGCAAAUCCGGAAAAUCAAGGCUGAGGCGUGAUGACGAGGCACUACGGUGCUGAAGCAACAAAUGCCCUGCUUCCAGGAAAAGCCUCUAAGCAUCAGGUAACAUCAAAUCGUACCCCAAACCGACACAGGUGGUCAGGUAGAGAAUACCAAGGCGCUUGAGAGAACUCGGGUGAAGGAACUAGGCAAAAUGGUGCCGUAACUUCGGGAGAAGGCACGCUGAUAUGUAGGUGAAGUCCCUCGCGGAUGGAGCUGAAAUCAGUCGAAGAUACCAGCUGGCUGCAACUGUUUAUUAAAAACACAGCACUGUGCAAACACGAAAGUGGACGUAUACGGUGUGACGCCUGCCCGGUGCCGGAAGGUUAAUUGAUGGGGUUAGCGGUAACGCGAAGCUCUUGAUCGAAGCCCCGGUAAACGGCGGCCGUAACUAUAACGGUCCUAAGGUAGCGAAAUUCCUUGUCGGGUAAGUUCCGACCUGCACGAAUGGCNCAGCGCAAGCGAAGCUCUUGAUCGAAGCCCCGGUAAACGGCGGCCGUAACUAUAACGGUCCUAAGGUAGCGAAAUUCCUUGUCGGGUAAGUUCCGACCUGCACGAAUGGCNCGCAAGGCGAAGCUCUUGAUCGAAGCCCCGGUAAACGGCGGCCGUAACUAUAACGGUCCUAAGGUAGCGAAAUUCCUUGUCGGGUAAGUUCCGACCUGCACGAAUGGCGUAAUGAUGGCCAGGCUGUCUCCACCCGAGACUCAGUGAAAUUGAACUCGCUGUGAAGAUGCAGUGUACCCGCGGCAAGACGGAAAGACCCCGUGAACCUUUACUAUAGCUUGACACUGAACAUUGAGCCUUGAUGUGUAGGAUAGGUGGGAGGCUUUGAAGUGUGGACGCCAGUCUGCAUGGAGCCGACCUUGAAAUACCACCCUUUAAUGUUUGAUGUUCUAACGUUGACCCGUGAUCCGGGUUGCGGACAGUGUCUGGUGGGUAGUUUGACUGGGGCGGUCUCCUCCUAAAGAGUAACGGAGGAGCACGAAGGUUGGCUAAUCCUGGUCGGACAUCAGGAGGUUAGUGCAAUGGCAUAAGCCAGCUUGACUGCGAGCGUGACGGCGCGAGCAGGUGCGAAAGCAGGUCAUAGUGAUCCGGUGGUUCUGAAUGGAAGGGCCAUCGCUCAACGGAUAAAAGGUACUCCGGGGAUAACAGGCUGAUACCGCCCAAGAGUUCAUAUCGACGGCGGUGUUUGGCACCUCGAUGUCGGCUCAUCACAUCCUGGGGCUGAAGUAGGUCCCAAGGGUAUGGCUGUUCGCCAUUUAAAGUGGUACGCGAGCUGGGUUUAGAACGUCGUGAGACAGUUCGGUCCCUAUCUGCCGUGGGCGCUGGAGAA